CCGUCCCUUCCGUCAGUCCCGGGGCUUACCCGGGUGCAGAGAGCGAGGAGCACCAAGGCGAGGCUGAUGGGACCUGCGACGGAGGCGAGCAUGAUCGGGACGCGGUAGGAGGAUGCACAGCAGGGUGCAGAGGCGACGAGAGGCGCGGCCGGAGCCUGGAUUCGGACAGGGGCGGAGAACCCUGUGCAAUAUGCACUGUGUGUGAAGACAGCAGAUCAUAGGGACCUUGGAGAUCAUUCAGCGGAAACAUGAGACCACCCCCUUCAGAGUAUACAAGGUGGAAGACAGCGCCGAUGGGGUGUGGCUUCCUGCUCUGAUAACCUCAAGGUUGGUAUGCUGAGUUGCUGGUGACUAAGCAAAGCCUGACACAGCUUCACAAGAGGUCCCUCAAACUCUGACCACCAUGGAGACUUGGCAAUCCAUUCAGACUACUUUGAGAAGCAGUUCAAAACUGAUUUGUAUUCUACG
ensembl:processed_transcript Gm15270 predicted gene 15270